rnacentral:rRNA from 1 species
GACGAACGCUGGCGGCGUGCUUAACACAUGCUAGUCGAACGGAAAGGCCCUGCUUUUGUGGGGUGCUCGAGUGGCGAACGGGUGAGUAACACGUGAGUAACCUGCCCUUGACUUUGGGGUAACUUCAGGAAACUGGGGCUAAUACCGGAUAGGAGCUCCUGCUGCAUGGUGGGGGUUGGAAAGUUUCGGCGGUUGGGGAUGGACUCGCGGCUUAUCAGCUUGUUGGUGGGGUAGUGGCUUACCAAGGCUUUGACGGGUAGCCGGCCUGAGAGGGUGACCGGCCACAUUGGGACUGAGAUACGGCCCAGACUCCUACGGGAGGCAGCAGUGGGGAAUAUUGCACAAUGGGCGGAAGCCUGAUGCAGCAACGCCGCGUGCGGGAUGACGGCCUUCGGGUUGUAAACCGCUUUCGCCUGUGACGAAGCGUGAGUGACGGUAAUGGGUAAAGAAGCACCGGCUAACUACGUG